UGGGGAAUAUUGGACAAUGGGCGAAAGCCUGACGCAGCGACGCCGCGUGUGGGAUGAAGGUCUUCGGAUUGUAAACCACUGUCGGGAGGGACGAAGCUCUGACGGUACCUCCAAAGGAAGCACCGGCUAACUCUGUGCCAGCAGCCGCGGUAAUACAGAGGGUGCGAGCGUUGUCCGGAAUCACUGGGCGUAAAGGGCGCGUAGGCGGCCUGGUAAGUAGGGGGUGAAAUCUCAUGGCUCAACUGUGAGGCUGCCUUCUAGACUGCUGGGCUUGAGCACGGUAGAGGCUGGUGGAAUUCCCGGUGUAGCGGUGGAAUGCGUAGAGAUCGGGAGGAACAUCGGUGGCGAAGGCGGCCAGCUGGGCCGUUGCUGACGCUGAGGCGCGAAAGCGUGGGGAGCAAACAGGAUUAGAUACCCCCGUAGUCCCUGAGCGGGCUGGCAAGGCGCAU
rnacentral:rRNA from 1 species